UGUGAUCCGGAGAUCCUGGGUGUGUCAGAGCUCCUGAAAAUCAAGCUGCCUCCAUGCCUCUGAGAUCCUGGUGUGACCAAGCUCCUGGGAUCUGGGAUCCUGUGAUCAUGUGGACCUGGGUUAAUAAAAUCCCAUUCUGAUUGUGUUGGUUAAAGAAUUGUGACUUGGAUCAGCUGACCAUUCUUCAGUGACUGGUUCCUGAAUGCCGAACCUGAGAAUGGACUAGGGGUCCUGAGACUAGAGCAGGGGAUGAGGAGACACAGAAGACAGAAGGCAGAGAAGAGAAAGCUGAGGGAUGGAGGUCUUGCACAAACUUUGUGGAAUGCCAAGCAAGGUUACUAAGCAGAGCACCUUCUGUACUAUCUUAAAGGGGAUCAAUGGGUGAAGCUGGCAGAAACUAUCCUACAAUGAGACGAAGUGUGUGGGAGGCCAAUCAAGCGAUGCUAAACAAGGGGACACAUGCUGUCUCAAGAGCAUGACAAACUGAACAUGAACAUACAGCUAGCUGUCUCCCAGGCCCCUCAGGGAGGAAAGCCUGCACAAGGUCUCAGAACUUGGUUGGUUCCCUUUGUCUGAGAAAGUCUUGAUUGGUCCAGCUCUCAACAGAAUUGUAAACCGUGAUAUCAUCCUAGUUGCUCUUCAGCGACACAAAGGUAGAAAGCCAAGUUUCACUUUAUACAUUGUCUUGUUAACAUAGGGAGUCUUGACAUAUUUUUUCUCUUUACAGCUUGUUUUUAAAAUUUGAAAAAAAAUAUUGUAGAAAAUUCAUUUGCAUUGCUUUUCUUUUGCGUUGUAGUAAAGAGCACUUCUGGUAUGCACACAUUUUUGUAAAACAGCAGCAGAAGCAACAACAGCAACAGCAGCAGCAGCAGCAGCAGCAGCAACAACAACAACAACAACAGGCUAACAAAAAUAGUAUAAAUAGCUGACUGUCUAGCCUCAACAUUACCAGCAAAUGAUCACCUGUUUUAAAACUGUGCCCUUUAAUAUCAGGCGCUGAAGCAAAAUUCAAACGGCCUACGAUGCAUGAAUCUGUAAAACUCAGAAUAUAUUCUAAAGACCAAGGACUGCUUUAGAGGCAUCAUGCACCAAAUUGACAACCAUUUCUUAAUCAAUAAAUACCUAUUUCACACCCAAAUUC
rnacentral:lncRNA from 1 species